rnacentral:rRNA from 1 species
CCUACGGGGUGCAGCAGUGGGGAAUAUUGCACAAUGGGGGGAACCCUGAUGCAGCGACGCCGCGUGAGUGAAGAAGUAUUUCGGUAUGUAAAGCUCUAUCAGCAGGGAAGAAAAUGACGGUACCUGACUAAGAAGCCCCGGCUAACUACGUGCCAGCAGCCGCGGUAAUCCGUAGGGGGCAAGAGUUAUCCGGAUUUACUGGGUGUAAAGGGAGCGCAGACGGCUGUGCAAGUCUGGAGUGAAAGGCGGGGGCCCAACCCCCGGACUGCUCUGGAAACUGUAAAGCUGGAGUGCAGGAGAGGUAAGCGGAAUUCCUAGUGUAGCGGUGAAAUGCGUAGAUAUUAGGAGGAAAACCAGUGGCGAAGGCGGCUUACUGGACUGCAACUGACGUUGAGGCUCGAAAGCGUGGGGAGCAAACAGGAUUAGAUACCCUUGUAGUC